rnacentral:rRNA from 1 species
UACGUAGGGGGCUAGCGUUGUCCGGAAUCAUUGGGCGUAAAGCGCGUGUAGGCGGUCCGGUAAGUCCGCUGUGAAAGUCGGGGGGCUCAACCCUCGGAUGCCGGUGGAUACUGUCGGGCUUGAGUACGGAAGAGGCGAGUGGAAUUCCUGGUGUAGCGGUGAAAUGCGCAGAUAUCAGGAGGAACACCAAUUGCGAAGGCAGCUCGCUGGGACGUUAACUGACGCUGGAGACGCGAAAAGCGUGGGGAGCAAACAGG